AUUGAACGCUGGCGGCAUGCUUUACACAUGCAAGUCGAACGGCAGCGCGGGCUUCUUCCUGGCGGCGAGUUGCGAACUGGUGUGUAAUGCAUCUGUACGUGCCCAGUAGUUGGUGAUAGCCCUGCUUAGGCCGGAUUUAUACCGCCUACGACCUGAGGUUGCAAGCUGGGGUCCUAUAGUCCUCGCGCUUUUUUCUCUGCCUAUGUCGGAUUUGCUAGUUGGUUUGGUAAAGGCUUACCAAGGCGACGAUCCGUAGCUGGUCUUAGAGGACGACCAGCCACACUGGGACGGAGACACGGACCAGACUACUACGGGAGGCAGCAGUGGGGAAUUUUGGACAAUGGGGGCAAACAUGAUGCAGCAAUGCCGCGUGCGGGAAGAAGGCCUUCGGGUUGUAAACCGCUUUUGUUAGGGAAGAAAACCUCUGGGCUAAUACCCCGGGGGGAUGACGGUACCGGAAGAAUAAGCACCGGCUAACUACGUG
rnacentral:rRNA from 1 species